GGACGAACGCUGGCGGCGUGCCUAAUACAUGCAAGUCGAGCGCGGGAAGCGAGCGGAUCCCUUCGGGGUGAAGCUCGUGGAACGAGCGGCGGACGGGUGAGUAACACGUGGGCAACCUGCCUGUAAGAUCGGAAUAACCCCGGGAAACCGGGGCUAAUGCCGGGUAAUACUUUUCUUCGCAUGAAGAUGAGUUGAAAGAUGGCUUCUCGCUAUCACUUACAGAUGGGCCCGCGGCGCAUUAGCUAGUUGGUGAGGUAACGGCUCACCAAGGCAACGAUGCGUAGCCGACCUGAGAGGGUGAUCGGCCACACUGGGACUGAGACACGGCCCAGACUCCUACGGGAGGCAGCAGUAGGGAAUCUUCCGCAAUGGACGAAAGUCUGACGGAGCAACGCCGCGUGAACGAUGAAGGUCUUCGGAUCGUAAAGUUCUGUUGUCAGGGAAGAACAAGUACCGUGCGAAUAGAGCGGUACCUUGACGGUACCUGACGAGGAAGCCCCGGCUAACUAC
rnacentral:rRNA from 1 species